GCUGUGGGGAAGGGAGAUGAAUUUGUAAACCCUGGAGUGAGGUUCUGCCUACCUGAGGCUGCUGCUGCUGUGCGGAGACCCCUGGGUGAAGCCACCGUCAUCAUGUCUGACCAGGAGGCAAAACCUUCAACUGAGGACUUGGGGGAUAAGAAGGAAGGUGAAUAUAUUAAACUCAAAGUCAUUGGACAGGAUAGCAGUGAGAUUCACUUCCAAGUGAAAAUGACAACACAUCUCAAGAAACUCAAAGAAUCAUACUGUCAAAGACAGGGCGUUCCAAUGAAUUCACUCAGGUUUCUCUUUGAGGGUCAGAGAAUUGCUGAUAAUCAUACUCCAAAAGAACUGGGAAUGGAGGAAGAAGAUGUGAUUGAAGUAUAUCAGGAACAAACGAGGGGUCAUUCAACAGUUUACAUAUUCUUUUUAUUUUUUUUUCUUUUCCCUUAAUCCUUUUUAUUUUUAAAAAUAGUUCUUUUGUAAUGUGGUGUUCAAAACAGAAUUGAAAACUGGCACCCCAUCUCUUUGAAACAUCUGGUAAUUUGAAUUCUAGUGCUCAUUGUUCAUUAUUGUUUGUUUUCAUUGUGCUGAUUUUUGGUGAUCAAGCCUCAGUCCCCUUCAUAUUACCCUCUCCUUUUUAAAAAUUACGUGUGCACAGAGAGGCCACCUUUUUCAAGACAUUGCAUUUUCAGGCUUGUGGUGAUAAAUAAGAUCAACCAAUGCAAGUAUUCAUAAUGACUUUCCAAUUGGCCCUGAUGUUCUAGCAUGUGAUUGCUUCAGUCCUGUUUUACCAUGUUCUAGCAUGUGAUUGCUUCACUCCUGUCACUCCUUCACUCCUGUCACUACUGUGACUUUCAGUGGGAGAUGGAAGUUUUUCAGAGAACUGAACUGUGGAAAAAUGACCUUUCCUUAACUUGAAGCUACUUUUAAAAUUUGAGGGUCUGGACCAAAA